UCCGUAGGUGAACCUGCGAAGGGAUCAUUA
rnacentral:rRNA from 1 species